GUUUUAACUUUAUUGUGAUGUUUUCUUCUGACAUUUCAGUAAAGGGCAUUUGUUUCACCUUGGACAGGAACUCCUGAAUAAUUUUUUCACCUUGCUGAAACACAUGUGAAUGUCCCAUUAGUAAUUAAAAUAUCUUUUCUAAAAGUCAUGUUAGACAGUGACAAAUUGUUUCAUUUCCAUCUAAACAUAUCACACAUUUAAAAAAUUUUUUUUUUAUUUUUCAUAUUUUUAGAGACGAGGGUCUCACUAUGUUGCCCAGGCUGGUCUCAAACUCCUCCCACAUUAGCCCACCCAAUAUUUGAAGAACAUAUUUAUUAUUUAUGUGUGCACUGUCUAGUUCCCAAAUUCCUCCACCUUUACAAUUGAUAAACUUUAAUCAUCUGUGAAAAAAAGAAUUCAAGGUUUACAAAGAAUACUGGAAGGCAUAAACAGUCACUGAAAAGUUAACACAUACAGAAGAUGCUUCAUUUUUAUUUUAUUGCCAAGUUAUUGCUGCUUCAGAGAGCAUGACUAUGACUUGCUAUGUGACUCUUGGGCAAACUCCUUAACACACAUUCCUCAUUCAUAAAAUGGGAAUAAUGUUACCAACCUCACAGGGCUCAAAAUAUAUUAUAAUUAAUGUUAUCAAAAGUACACGACUUCUAUUCUAACUGGAAACAAGAGAUUGCAUAAAAGAGUCUGCCUAAUCCUGGAUCACUGAAAGCUAUGAUUUCAACACAUUAAAGUGCAAAUACAAAGACCACUUCAUAUUUAGGAUGGCAGCCUGCCAUACCUAAAAUUAUUAACAAGUUAUAUUUCUCCUGCUUGUAUAGGUACAACAGAUAAAACUACACUUUUUAGGCUCAAAAACCAUACACACCAUCUAUUAUUAUUGUAGCAACUAUCUAUCCUUCAGAUAAGAACAAUGAUAAGACAUUCACAGGUAAAAGCUAAAAACAUGACAGGUAAAAAGUUGUCACAAUGUAUAUUGCAGUACAUGUUUCCAGGACCAGGCAGUGAAAUAAGAUUCUUUUAUUUUUAUAAUUGAAGAGAACUAGUAAUCCUCUAAUUUAAAAAAAAAAAAAAAAAAAAGGGCCGGGCACAGUGGCCCACUCCUGUAAUCCCGGCACUUUGGGAGGCCAAGGCAGGCAGAUCAUGAGGUCAGGAGAUCGAGACCAUCCUGGCUAACACGGUGAAACCCCAUCUCUACUAAAAAAUACAAAAAAUUUAGCCGGGCGUGGUGGCAGGCGCCUGUAGUCCCAGCUGCUCGGGAGCCUGAGGCAGGAGAAUGGUGUGAACCCAGGAGGCAGAGUUUGCAGUGAGCCGAGAUCGCGCGCCCCUGCUCUCCAGCCUGGGCGACAGAGCGAGACUCCGUCUAAAAAAUAAAUAAAUAAAUAAAAAAUAAUAAUAAUAAAAAAUUAGGCAUAUGCUUGGGUCUUUCUGUGUGAACGCCCAAAUAUGACCCAUUACUCAAAGGCACCAUAAAAUCCACUUCUCCCAUGAGAACUGAAACAUCCCGUCCACAUAUAGCUUUCUUGAAUAAAUAUUUGUCAUAUGCCACUUUAUUCUCUGUGUCACGUUCGUUAUUCUUAUCUUCCCAACUAAAUUCUAGACAAAUAGAGGGCAGGAAUUAUGAAUCAUGCUUUUUUAUUUCUUUGUCCUUUUCUUACCUAAUGUGUAAUUUAAUAACUGAACUUGAUAUAUUCGUUUAUGAACAAAGAUAUACCUAGACAUCUAUCGUCCAUAAUAACUAAUUUUAGUGAAAUGACUAAUUUUAAACCUAGGUUAAUAUUCCUUUACUCCUACUUUGGUACUUGAAAUCGAAUAUUGAUCAUGCAGAUGUAUAUACUGCAGAAAUCAAAAUAACACAGAGAUAGAUUCUUUGCCAUCAAAAAAACUGAUUAAAAAAUAAGCACUAGAAACACAGAGGAAAACAAACAACAACAAAAAACCUUCAUCUUAGUGUCCUGUUUAUGUAAUAAUAGAGAAGCUAAGUUAAACUAUGAAAACAAACUGACAAACCUCUCUUUCCAGAUAGCACUUCUUUGCUGCUGGUUCCAUGAUAUCAUAUCCUUGCGAUUCUCCAAUAUACUGAAACUCCUCAAGUUCCAGG
rnacentral:lncRNA from 1 species